UAUUAUUUCUACUACUACAUUAUAAUUGUUUGUACCUUGAACUAAAAAAAUCUGAGUGGGAAGAGAGAUUCUCUGGAUUAUUCCAGAUUAUUAAAUGUAAAGUGGGCCAAAAUGAGGGCCAAAACUAGGGUAGAGCAAGCAAGAAGUCACUGUGUCUGAGGAAGAAAAUAUUGUUUGAGCUUAUGAUGAGGGAUUAAAAUUGUCAUUUUUGCUGAGAAAAGAAAAGUAUAUGAAAAAGGGUAUAUGAGAACAACAGCUACCUAUCCAACACAGCAUUGACUUGUCAGAACUACCAGCCCCUGAUGAAUAUGAACAGCUAUGGAGACGAGACAUUGUGUGUGUCUUGGACUUGAUAAAGAAGUCAGGGGUGAGUGCACAGAGGUCACGGCUGGCGUAGCUCUCGAUGCAGCGGCAACAGAAACGCUAUCAGAAAACAUCUGCCUCCUCCCCCAAACACGCCAGGUGUCAAACGCUCAGGGCUCAACAUGGCAGCCAUAUUCUGACACAGAGCUUAGAAGGAAAAAUGUAAUCUUCAGCCUGCCUGCAGCUUCUAAAUAUGUGGCGUUGUGAGCAAGAUUCUCCCUGCCAUGCUCCAGAAGUUUCUGACUAUAAUACAGAGUUUUUCUGUUUGGUGCAUGUGUGUUUUCAUAUUAUUAAUCUCAUUCUUUUCUCCCUACCCCACUUUCCCCCUUUUAUUCUCAUGCUGCUGUAUCCUCACCCUGGGCCCUCCACUGGCUUCUGUAAUGUUACAGUAUUAAAAGUUUCAUUUCA